GCUGGGCAUGGUAGUGCAUACCUGUAAUCCCAGCUGCUUGGGAGGCUGAGGCAGGAGGAUCGUGAGUUCAAAGCCAGCCUCAUUAAUGGCAAGGCGCUAAGCAAUUCAAAUGAGACCCUGACUCUA
rnacentral:sRNA from 1 species